UGGGUUCCCUUGAAUUUCAGAAAUACCCAGA
rnacentral:piRNA from 1 species